AAUUGAGGGGGGCUGCUCCUAGUACGAGAGGACCGGAGUGGACGCAUCACUGGUGUUCGGGUUGUCAUGCCAAUGGCAUUGCCCGGUAGCUAAAUGCGGAAGAGAUAAGUGCUGAAAGCAUCUAAGCACGAAACUUGCCCCGAGAUGAGUUCUCCCUGACUCUUUAAGAGUCCUGAAGGAACGUUGAAGACGACGACGUUGAUAGGUCGGGUGUGUAAGUGUAGCGAUACAUUGAGCUAACCGAUACUAAUGAACCGUGAGGCUUAACCUUACAACGCCGAAG
rnacentral:rRNA from 1 species